AUGCCAACUCCUCUUCCUGGUUGUUCCCGGGAGACUGAGGGUAAACUGCUCGCAGUGGCUCCGUUAAACGUGAGUCAGGUUACCACACACGGACUAAAACGGAGCAGAGAGGGACACGCCUCGGACCUGCUGAGAGUGUCACUGACUGUGUUGGGGGCAUGCCAGGGUCCCAAUGUAAUCGAGGCCUGCCCGUGUACCAGGAGUGCUGCUGCCAGUAGAGGACGGAUGCUCCAGCUCAGACGAAAGGUAGGGGACCCUCCUUUGUUUGGUUACAAAUCCCUCAUCUUGGAGAGAUACAGGGUUGGUUUUACUGGUUUUAUUCCAGUCCAGCACUGAAACAUCUGAUUCAGCAAAUCUAGGUCUUGAUGAUUCGCUGAAUUAAGUGUGUGUGUGUGUGUGUGUGUGUGUGUGACCUGAAAUGUUUGCAAUUUCCAAAAAUAAACACUCUAGUGUUAGAAUCUAGUGAUAUUAUGUCUGGUGUUGCAAACAAUGUAAAGUAUGUUUAGAUAGGUGUAACCUCGAGCCAAACAUGUUGAUGUUUAAUCUGAUGGUAUCCUGCUAUUGACACACUUGUUUAUGCAAGACAACGUGAUCACAACCGUAAUUAAUGAGGCAGUCUAGACAAUGCACAGGUAGGGUAGACAGAGCAAGUGUUUGGCGGUUGUAACCCUGUCUCACACUUUUAUGUUCAUUCAUUCAUAUAUGAAAAUACACCCUGUGCGUUUAUGCAAAUGAGGCAUGUAUAAUUUUCUUUAUUUUAACACAAAAUAUUUAUUUUAAAUACCUGCUACAAUGAGAAAAUGUAUUUAAGUGCAUUCUAAGAAAAAAAUAUUAAUUCAUUAUAUAAUUCCCAACCAAAAUCCCUGAACUAAAAAUAUAUGUGCUAUAUUUCAGUCAACAUCUGAUGGAUUAUAUAUAUUUUUUUAAAUUGGCGAGUAUGUUCAUCCGUUGUCCAACUGCAUUUAUUAGAAUUGUUUUUACAACCUUGUAACAAUUUCAAUGAUCAUUGCUAAUUGAUUUCUUACCACGCAUUUGACUCAGAAAUACAAUACAAAAACUAUGGAAAACUGUGAGGCUCGAUCGUUCUUCAAGAUGUUCCAAUAUUCAUAGAUGAACAGCAGGGUUAAAUAAUAAUCAGGAGUAAAUGUCAGUUGUCUUUUCAUAGCCGACCAAUUCAGAGGUCAAGAAAGNNNNNNNNNNNNNNNNNNNNNNNNNNNNNNNNNNNNNNNNNNNNNNNNNNUCCACCCACUCAGUCAACCUACUCUGCUGCUAAAAUGAUUAUUGAUGAGAUGUAUUACUCCAUUAUGCUGAUGUCCAUUGUUCACAAUUUGUAGAUUUGUUAUUAUCACUACAUUGUUGGUUGGAAAGAGCUCUCAAUGAAAGAAUUUCACUAUACUGACACACUAUACCUGUUGUGCCAUGGGCACGUGGUGAAUAAACAUUGAAACAAGACCAACCAUGCGUACACAGGCAGCUGCAGUUCCAACCUUGUCCAGUAGAGUGCAGUAGAGGACAAGUGUCAUCAUGGGGCAUCACCAGAAUCAUCAGACUCUACAGACAUUCAGCUCUCCUUGGUCCAAGAGGCUGAGACAGAAGCCUAUCUCUGGGUCAGCACCCCAAAGAGAGAAAGGGAGUUGACGAGGGGGGUGGAAUAGAGGGCCCUAUAAGUGAAUGAUCUGCUCAUCUUGUAUGCGUCCCAAGUGGCACCCUAUUCCAUAUUAAGUGCACUAAAUUUAGGCUUUUAGGAAAUAGGAUGCCAUUUGGGAGGCAUACAGUGACCAAACCAGGCUUUUUUUCUGCUGUGCAGACUGCAAUAGCAUCUAACUGUUCUUGAACAGCUCUGCUGCACUUUCUUUAAGCCUGCUUUUACAUGAAUGUAUCAGCCUCUGUGUAACCUUAGUCACUUUCUAUUGAAAUUCUAAAGCAGUAACAAUUUGAUACAUUAUAAAACAAUCACAGAAUGUAUGAAGUUUAACUGAACCUCUUUAAGCUUUCAAUAUUUCCUGAGCUAAUAUAUUUUAAUGUGCCUCACCCCACCAAUGUCAUUUUAUGAUAAUCGAAUGUGGAGUUGUUUACUGUUAUGUUGCUCUGUGUAGAAUUGUAAAACAAAAUAAAUAUCAAAUGUAUGUUGCAAUGUUGAUGACACUGAUUACUCAAUGUAUUUAUUUACAGUAUAUUACAAAUAUGUCUGCCUCUGCGUUUUUUGUGUGCAUUGGAGACUGAUAAAUCAAGCUAUGAAACACUGAACUACAAAUCACACAAUCCAAUAUGACAAAACACGAAAUAAUGAAAGGAUUCCAGGGUGAGUAGUAGAUUUGUGCCAGCACAGAAGGAUAGGCCAGCGAGUGAUUUAUGCUUCAGUAAGGUUGGCUUCUUAGCGUUCAGAGCAAUGGUUAUCAACUGUACUGCAGAAAUGGAAGGUAAAUCACAGUAAAUGUUGUGGUGGCAGCUGCAGAGAUGUAUUUGGGUAUACGAGAUUUGACUUCAAAAGAGUUACAGGGUGUUGAGGGGUGGUGUCCCGUCCUCCCAGGCCGUUGGCAUGGUGCAGAAACAGAUAGGGUCAAAGUAGUGGAAUGGGGUGGUGUGUUUUUAGCUAGUGUAGGUGGUGGUGUCUGGGCUAUAUUUAACUUUCUUAGAGUAACAUUACUAAUGAAGAGAAUUUAAUUUAGUUAGGCUGUGACUGGCCUCACACUCCAGUACAGUAGGUGGCGGUGUAUGCACCUACAAGUUGGAUGUGCUCCACCAACCAAAUUCCAAAAAGAAGUAGACAAAACACUGAAGUACACUUUAGAAUAAAUCAGCAUUAGGACUGCUGUACUUCACAUACACAAUUGGUGUUUUAAAUAGCCAAAGUUUAACACGCAUUUAGUUUGUGCACAAGUAAUUGCUCUUAUUUUGAUUGGAAGAUUUGUAUUGUGUGUUGUCUGGAAUUUGAAAUGAGAUAUCCAUAUUUAGUCUACCAUUCACAUGCUAACGAUAGAAUAUGCUAAAACCAAAGACAGUACAGUAUGAAGAUAGGCAGAAACUGCUUCUCCAAAAUAAAUCCUUGAUCACACUUGUAGGCAAUAUCAUGGUGGCAUUGGCUAGCUAAGCUCAUGCGCAGAAACACAUCAUCGGGUCUCAAGGUCGUCUCACCCCGAACUGUGCAUGUGCAGGCCAUCAAAUCAAAGGCACUCCUUCAAUUUAAAGUUGUUUUUGACUCAAAUGAAAAUGUGUAAUUUUGUCACUUUCACAAGGUUGGUGUAAUAACAUGUCCAACUAUACUGAACAAAAAUAUACACGCAACACGUUAAGUGUUGGUCCCAUGUUUCAUGAGCAGAAAUAAAAAUCCUAGAAAUUGUCAAUACUCACAAAAAACAUUUCUCUCAAAUUGUGUGCACAACUGUGUUUAUAUCCCUGUUAGUGAGCAUUUCUCCUUUUCCAAGAUAAUCCAUCCACCUGACAGGUGUGGCAUCUCAAUAAGACGACUAAACAUCGUGAUCAUUAUACAGGUGCACCUUGUGCUGGAGAUAUUAAAAGGCCACUCUUAAAUGUGCAGUUUUGCCACACAACACAAUGCCACAGAUUUUGAGGGAGCGCACAACUGGCAUGCUGACUGCAGGAAUGUCCACCAGAGUUGUUGCCAGAUAAUUUAAUGUUCAUUUCUCUACCAUAAGCCACCUUUAAUGUUGUUUUAGAGAAUUUGGCAGUAUGUCCAACUGGCCUCACAACUGCAGACCAUCUGAAACCACGCCAGCCUAGAACCUCCACGUCCGGCUUCUUUACCUACAGGAUCAUCUGAGACCAGCCAGCCGAACAGGUGAUGAACCUGAGGAGUAUUGCUGUCUGAAAUAAAGCCCCUUUGUGGGGAACAACUCAUUCUGAUUGGCUGGAUCUGGCUCCCCAGUGGGUGGGCCUAUGCCGUCCCAGGCCCACCCAUGAAUAUGCCCCUGCCCAGUCAUGUGAAAUCCAUAGAUUAGGGCCUAAUGAAUAUAUUUCAAUUGACUGAUUUCCUUAUAUGAACUGUAACUCAGUAAAAUCAUUGAAAUUGUUGCAUGAUGCAUGUAUAUUUAGUUUCAUUAUACUUAUUACAUUGACUCAAAUCUAGAUUGUGCCUUUAGAUUUAGCUAAAAUGAACAACUAUCAAAGAUUUUUUCAUGUCUCUCAUUGACUUCUCAAACCCAGUCCCCGGCCUGGUCUGCUUGGUCUAUUUCACAAGCAUUCCCAGAAGCCUUGCAAUGUUGAGCCUCUGGGUUUAGAAACUGUGCUAAAACCGUGGUGCUCUCUGACUAUGAUUGCACAUGCCAACCAGAAUGUCCAGCAUGACAAUUACACAUUGUCAUAUUUGAUGUGAUAUGUUAGUUAAACUAGCUAAAUGCUGAAUUAUGAUAGUUACAAAGAUACUGCCC
rnacentral:lncRNA from 13 species